GACGAACGCUGGCGGCGUGCCUAAUACAUGCAAGUCGGACGCACAGUCUAUACCGUAGCUUGCUACACCAUAGGCUGUGAGUUGCGAACGGGUGAGUAACGCGUAGGUAACCUGCCUAUUAGAGGGGGAUAACUAUUGGAAACGAUAGCUAAUACCGCAUAACAGUAUGUAACACAUGUUAGAUGCUUGAAAGAUGCAAUUGCAUCGCUAGUAGAUGGACCUGCGUUGUAUUAGCUAGUAGGUAGGGUAAUGGCCUACCUAGGCGACGAUACAUAGCCGACCUGAGAGGGUGAUCGGCCACACUGGGACUGAGACACGGCCCAGACUCCUACGGGAGGCAGCAGUAGGGAAUCUUCGGCAAUGGGGGGAACCCUGACCGAGCAACGCCGCGUGAGGGAAGAAGGGUUUCGGAUCGUAAAGCUCUGUUGUUAAGGAAGAACGAGUGUGAGAAUGGAAAGUUCAUACUGUGACGGUACUUAACCAGAAAGGGACGGCUAACUACGUG
rnacentral:rRNA from 1 species